UACGUAGGCAGCAAGCGUUGUUCGGAGUUACUGGGCGUAAAGGGUGUGUAGGCGGUUUUUUAAGUUUGGUGUGAAAUCUCCCGGCUCAACUGGGAGGGUGCGCCGAAUACUGAAAGACUAGAGUGCGGGAGAGGAAAGUGGAAUUCCUUGUGUAGCGGUGAAAUGCGUAGAUAUCGGGAGGAACACCUGUGGCGAAAGCGGCGCACUGGACCAUAACUGACGCUGAUGCGCGAAAGCUAGGGGAGCAAACAGG
rnacentral:rRNA from 1 species